rnacentral:lncRNA from 1 species
GAUAAAGGAAAAUUUGAACUUGAAAGUAGAUAUCUAUGAGUUGAAUACUUUCAUAUAAUCUCCCUAUUUUUAAAGCAUCAUGAAGGAGGAUGUGUUGUUCAAGUUUAAAUUUCCCUAAGUUAAAUCAAUAUGAUAGCACCAAUAAACCACUAGAUAAUGUGACCCAUUUUGCAAACACAAUGAAAUUAAAGAGCUAUUGACACCAUGUUGUGCAAGGGCUUUACUACUAAAUCUUU